CCCUGCCCACACAAACACACACACACACACACACACAUUUGAAAGAUGCAAACUUGUAGGCAGGGAUCGGUCGGUGGGGGAAGGGGGGGGGGGGGGGGGGGGGGUCGAGGUGAGCCAUGUGAGUUCAGGCGUACAUUUGACUGAUAAGGUAUGCAUGCCCAUCUCUGGUGUGCUGACAUUGUUCAAUACACCGUAGCCUACGUCUCAUUUGUGUUGCUGGGACAGGGAAAAAAAAACCUGGAUGUCAUUUUUUCGUUCACAGAUCGAAGUUUCUUAGGUUGGGGUGGACUUUAGAAGGGCAGUGGAAAAACGGUGCAUUGUUUGUGGUCUCAUGUCGUACUUUAAUAUCCAAUUUAGCGAGACGGUCUGCACCACUCUGAUGUGCUCGGUGGUGGCAGCCGGCCAACACAGCGUCUCUCAACUUGUCCUUGGAUACUCUGCUGGUACACACCUCCGGAAUAGACAGAGGAGAGAGGGAGAGGGAGAGAGAGGGGGGGAAAGGACUCCUCUCUAACCCGUCCUCCUCUAUAGCACGCUAGUAAGCUCCGCGGUGACAUCAUCGUGUCCCCAAUGGCGGUGACGUCAUAGCUUCAAAGUGGUGACAUCACCGCGUCAUAGUGGUGGUGUCAUCACACUGUCACAGUGGUGGUGACCUCAAGGUGUCACAGUGGUGACAUCACAGCGACCCAGUGGUGACAUCACAGCGUCCCAGUGGUGACAUCACAGCGUCCCAGUGGUGACAUCACAGCGACCCAGUGGUGAACUCACAGCGACCCACUGGUGAACUCACAGCGUCCCAGUGGCGGUGGCGGUGGAGGUGGGGAAAUCACGAUUCACGAGGCAAACGGGCACGGAGGCGUGUGUCUCGGGUCAUGACGUCGCCGUGGGGUGACAUCAUAGCGCAGACGUCCCAGCCCCGGCACCAUGUCAGCCGCUGUGACGUCACAGGACGGCAGGAUGUGAGGUCGGUUUUCCUUAGACGCUCGACCCCCCCCGACCCGGUCACAUGUGACCAGCCCAUGUGACGUCAUCGCCCUCUGAGCUGACAGGCCAACACGGACGCUGUGUUGGAAGGGGGUUUGAACACGGGGAGCGUAACUUAUAAGAUAGAUGAUCUAACAGUUGUGAAACGUCGUUGCUAAAUGAAACCGAUGACGUCGUUUGAGCCCAAUGUUUGGGUAGAUGUUACACUCAGGGUUGGUUGAGACAGUAGUUAUGGUUAGGACGUAGAGUAGAUAUCUGUCUCAUUUUAUACUGCUACACUAAGAUGAGCAGUAACACACACAGACAUGCACACACACACACACACACACACACACACACACACACACACACACACACACACGCGCACACUACUUGUUAAACCCCAAACCAUAUAUCAACCUGUCCAUUCAGGAUAAAAUAAAGAACAAAUGGGUUUGUAUCCGAUAAGAGAGAGAGGCAUUAUCGUCCCGGGGAGAAAGGCCGAGCAAGAGUUGGAAAGAGAAAUUGGGAAGACAGACAGUCUGCCUUUAAUGCUUGCUAAUGCUUUAUUAUAUUUCUGCGUCUGUUUUCCGCUCGCUUUUACUGAAACAUCCGGUCGAUAAAGCCUCAUUGACUUGCCUGGAGAGCGAGAGAGACGUAGACAGAGACUGUAUAAAUAGAAGAGAGCGAGGGUGAUAGAGAGGUGAUAUAGAGACAUGCUAUAGACAGGGCGAGAGACAUGCUGUACAGAGAGGAGAGAGAGGGAGAGAGACAUACUGUAUACAGGGGAGAGACCGGGGAUAUAGGGACAUACAGGCGAGAGAGAGGGCGAGAGACAUACUGUAGACAGAGGAGAGAGAGGGUGAUGUCAAGACAGGGGUGACCAUGGGGGGUGGGGGCUUAUAGGCCAUACUUACAUUUCAAAGUAAGAGCCUAUUUAUAGGACAGCGGUGGCCGCAUGUGUGUGUGUGUGUGUGUGUGUGUGUGUGUGUGUGUGUGUGUGUGUGUGUGUGUGUGUGUGUGUGUGUGUGUGUGUGUUCUGUUGUUGUCAGCAUGGAGGAAUGCACUGGUGGUGAUAAGGAUAAACCAGAGUGGUCCAUGCCAGGGUGCGCGCACACACACACACACACACACACACACACACACACACACACACACACACACACACACACACACACACACACACACACACACACACACACACACACACACACACACACACACACACACACACACACAAU